UGCAUAUUUACUUGAGGCCAGAGGAAAUAUUAAUUUCCAGAAACGCUUUUUGGCAACAUUAUUGCUUUUAGGGGAAACCUGACAAUGAUAUUUGGGAGGCUAAGGAACAUCAUUUUAAAUGUUAUCUUGAUGGAUAUGCUUUUAACUUAAUGCUUAUUUAGCCAUGAGUAAGACGAGCACGAGGCUAAAGAGGUUGCCAAGUAUCAUGGUAUCGUUAACGAUGCAUAGAGUGCUCCGAUCGCUCCACUAGAUGCGUUCAGUGUUCUAGAUAUGUGUUCAGGGUUCUCUAGAUGUGUUCAGUGUUCUCUAGAUGUGUUCAGGGUUCUCUAGAUGUGUUCAGGGUUCUCUAGAUGUGUUCAGUGUUCCCUAGAUGUGUUCAGUGUUCUAGAUAUGUGUUCAGUGUUCUUUAGAUGUGUCCUGUGUUCUCUAAAAGUGUCCUUUGUUCACUAGAUGUGUUCUCUGGAAGUGUUCAGUGUUCUCUGGAAGUGUUCAGUGUUCUCUAGAAGUGUUCAGUGUUCUCUAGAAGUGUUCAUUUGAGCGAUGACUAACCCUGUUUUAUCGGAGCGUUCCGCUGGUGAUCUCACCGUUGUGACCGCGUUGCCCGAGGCCUUCGUUAUCUCAUGACAGACAGGGUCUUUCCCACGUACGGGCGCUGAUAAGGAUCCGGUAACAGCACGUUCACUCCCUACCCGGGCUCUGGGAGAAUGCCCCCCUGGAGCUCAUCACGCACCAGAGGAACGAGCGGGUUCCAUUAGCAGUAUCUGGGGCCCCAUCUCCCGGCCCUCCGCUGUCUCUGGGAUGUCUCCCCGGGCCUCAGAUACGGCCCUCUGCUGUCUG
ensembl:lncRNA